GCUCUCUGCCCCGGGAACGUCGAGACUGGAGCGCCCGAACUGAGCCACCUUCGCGAACUCGGAGCGCGGCGGCCCGACUCAACCGCGGAGGCGCCCGGACGCGUAAAGAUGCUCUGCCCAGGGAGUCCCUCGGUCGCGGGACCUGUGGCCGCCAGAGCAGCUGGAUCUGGAGUGUGCUGCCUGUGAACAGCCUGUGAAAGUGGCUCUUCUCCCUCUGGGUCAGAGGAUGUCUCUGCUCUGGGGGCAAGGGAGUAAACAUCAGCACUUCCCACCUGAAGGAAGCCAUCAGACUCCUUUGCUGUUUCUAGCACUCUUUGUAAGGUCUUUCAGGAGGACUUCAGAAAUCUCCCUGAACGUGCCUGGCUGGGGGUUCCACUCAUGGUUCUAUCCCUAAGCAGGGCUCCUCUGAGCUUACAGAUCAACCCCCCCCCCACUCUCUUUCAGACUUAGGUGGUAAAGUGAGAAGAGACUCUGGCUGGAGAGUCUGAGAGACAGAUUGGGAGCUUCUGGGCGCUGUCUUGGGUAGAGCAAGAGAUAGUUCUCUUCAGCCCAAGAUCCCCUCAUCUCUGGGAGAUACCAGUCUAGGGCUUGUGUCCUGCUUCUUCCUAUAAGGACCUGGGACAGGGAUAUGAGGCCGAUCCUCCCCUUCUCGCAUUAUGUGUGUAGGUGCAUAUGCCAUGUGGCAGCCAUAGUCUGGGACAGAUAGAAGUCCUUCUGGUCCUGCUCUAUGGGACCAGUCACCCCUGAACAUCACCCCUUUCUGAUAUGGGACACUUGGGAAACCCUGCCAUCCACAUUUCUGGACAGGGGCGGGUGUUGUGUGGGAAAUAGGCUACACCCCACACCUCAGGAUUCCAGAGCCUUGGAUGAAGAACCCAGGCCUUCGACUUCCCUGGCAUCCUGUACAGGGGAGCCCACUUUCUGCCUGGACUCUUCUUGAAGGAGCACACUCCCUCUUCCUGGCCCUUCUUCCUCAGUGGCCAGCAGCCUGUUCAGCAGAUGCAUUUCUGUGUUUGCCCAGCAGACCUCCCAGGCUGGCCCAGGCGGGAUCCCUUGGAGAGACUUCUGGGAGGGGCCCAAUAAAGCUUUGUGCAAUGAGAAA
rnacentral:lncRNA from 1 species